AGAGAAUAGAUACCCGGGUAGUCCACGCCGUAAACGAUGAGUGCUAGGUGUCACGGGCUUUGACCCUCGUGGUGCCGAAAGCUAAACGCGUUAAGCACUCCGCCUGGGGAGUACGGCCGCAAGGCUAAAAACUCAAAGGAAUUGACGGGGGCCCGCACAAGCGGUGGAGCAUGUUGUUUAAAUUCGACGCAACGCGAAGAACCUUACCUGGGCUAGAAAGUACAGGAACCCGGACGAAAGUUCGGGGUGCCUCGGGAACGUCGUGGUUAGGUGCUGCAUGGCUGUCGUCAGCUCGUGUCGUGAGAUGUU
rnacentral:rRNA from 1 species